AGCUAACUAGCUACAGUGCAGGCUAACUCAAAUGAGCUGCUAAUGUAACUAUCUAGCUAUCUAGCCAACUUUACAAACUGUAUAGAUAGAGAGCUAAGUGAAUUACAUUUGACCAGCUACCUAACUUCAUAUUAGCUAGCUAUCUUUAUGUAUUUAUCAUUGUAAAAAAAAAAAACUCCAAAUGCAUUUGUAGGUAGCUAGCGAACAGCCACGCAGGAGGGUGAAAGGAGUGAGAGAGCAGGCUAUUCUGGAAAGGGCAGGUACUUUUGUGUAGUUCCCGUCCCUAGAGUUGAGGACGGAGAUAACAGUAACAUCAUAUUCAGUGCUGUCUAAUUUGAGUAUAAUGACGUCCGUUUCUUGUGAUGUUUUCUGUCCUCAGAUACAGAGAGCUGUGAAAGCCUGUCUGCAGAUGAAGAGGUCCCAAUGAAGAGCAGUGGUUCUCAGUCCUGGUGCUGGGGACUCAAAUGGAUGCACAUUGUUGUUUUUGCCUUAGCAUUACACAGCUGAUUCAAAUGAUCAACUGAUCAUCAAGCUUCAAGGGAUACCUUGCAACUGGAGAUUCCUUCAAAACGAUUGCCUACUGUGUAGUGCAUUACAAGGGCCAUCUGGGACUGCCUCCUGGGGGAAUUCAGGCGUGUGUGAAGGCUACCUGGGUCCUGCAUAACCUCAUGAGGAUGGACACGAGGUCCAGGAGGGGACCUGCAGCUCGCCGCCGUGUGCCAGAGGAGAGGUCUGCUGCUCUGCAGGAUGUUUCAAGGAUGGGGGCCAACAACGCAGCACAGCAGGCAAUCUGUGUGCGGGAGAUCUUCACCUCCUACUUCUUCGAAGAGGGUGCUGUUCCCUGGCAACACCAUAUACUACACUAUACACAACCAAAAGCUCUUUUAAGAGCCAUCCACAUUGCAACAAGAGUAUUCUUCCAUAUACUUAGCUAUCCCAACUGCAGUUACUCAAUUCCCGGUUUCUCUACUUUUGAUUUCUACUUCUCAGGUGAGGGUGCUGUUCAGGUAAGGGUGACGUCUGUACAAAAACAGGCUAUUUUAAGAGUCGCCCAUAUUGAAAACAUUCAGAACAAUUAGACACCCUAUAACCCACACCUACACACUCGUGUAUCAAUCUGACUGAUGGAUUGUGUUGUGCAGCAGGCUCCGGUGUAGAACUGUGGCUCCUUCCACCUUCAAAGAACAGGCCAGAGGACCAACCAUGGAGAAUAGUAAGACACUUCAUCAUUACUAUUUAUAUAACUACACUAUAUUGUUUGUCCUCGUGUGUCUGUGCUUGUUUUUCAGUAUAAAGUACUCUGCAGCCGCUCAGUGUGGACACCAGGUUAUAUCAGCUGUGUCGGUGGACCCCUCCCGCAUCUGAACUGGCUACGUAGAGGGCACAGCAUGAUCAGAGGUUUGCAAGUCAUGCCCACCUGAUGGCCUUUUGGAAGCAGAUAGAGCCCAGCCACCUGCAGGUUCAUACGGGUGACAAGAGACACGAAGUGGAGCAAAGACUGAUGACGUCCCUCACACUGGCAAUGCAACGGUUAAUAUAUUUUUUAACAAGCACAACUGGCUGUGAAUCACACAAUGUCGUCUGAAAUACACAGACGCAUCAUUUAAUGGGUUUUGAAAGACGAGGGUCUACAGCAGCAGGAGUAGGAGCAGAACUUGUUCUUUCUACUUUUUACUGGUGGAAGCAACUUAUCUACUGUCUCGUGUCACUUUUGUGCUUUCUGCAUCACUUUCCUACUGUCUCCCACCACUUGGCUAUACUGUCUCCCACCACUUGGCUAUACUGUCUCCCACCACUUGGCUAUA